CGAGCACGCGCGUGUGGCAUAUCAAUAAGCGGAGGAAAAGAAACUAACAAGGAUUCCCUUAGUAACGGCGAGUGAAGCGGGAAGAGCUCAAAUUUGAAAUCUUCAAGGUUCUACCUUGACGAAUUGUAGUUUAUAGAAGUGUUUUCUGUUAGUAGAGUGGCAAAAGUUCUUUGGAAUAGGACAUCAUAGAGGGUGAGAAUCCCGUAUUUGGUCAUUCUUUCUAGCUUUGUGAUACACUUUCAACGAGUCGGAUUGUUUGGGAAUGCAGUCCAAAAUGGGUGGUAAAUUUCAUCUAAAGCUAAAUAUUGGCGAGAGACCGAUAGCGAACAAGUACCGUGAGGGAAAGAUGAAAAGAACUUUGAAAAGAGAGUUAAACAGUACGUGAAAUUGUCAAAAGGGAAGCGUUUGACACCAGUGUUGUUUUUCCGAAAAUCAAUUACGAAUGUUUUAUUUUUGAGAAGUUAUGACUUCAUCGGCUUGCUUCUCUCUUUAUGAAACUUUCUUAAUGCACUUUUCGGUUAACAAGUCAACAUCAAUUUCUUUUGUUGUAAAAGGGUAUGAGGAAGGUGGCUUUCUUUUCGGAGAAAGUGUUUAUAGCCUUGUACCUCUGCAAUCGGAGAGAUUGAGGUCUGCAGCGUAGAUCCUUCGGGGUUAGAUACAUUUGUGCUAAGUUAUAGCUUUUCAUAGACAACUUGUUGACUAUGUUUAGUCUUGUAGCUUACUCGCUGAUGCUAUUUUACCUACGCUUAGGAUGUUGAGUAGCGACAUACGCAC
rnacentral:rRNA from 1 species